UACGUAAGGGGCAAGCGUUAUCCGGAUUUACUGGGUGUAAAGGGAGCGCAGGCGGCAUGACAAGUCUGAUGUGAAAGGCAGGGGCUCAACCCCUGGACUGCAUUGGAAACUGUCAAGCUAGAUUGCAGGAGAGGUAAGCGGAAUUCCUAGUGUAGCGGUGAAAUGCGUAGAUAUUAGGAGGAACACCAGUGGCGAAGGCGGCUUACUGGACUGCAAAUGACGCUGAGGCUCGAAAGCGUGGGGAGCAAACAGG
rnacentral:rRNA from 1 species